rnacentral:rRNA from 1 species
UACGUAGGUCCCGAGCGUUGUCCAGAUUUAUUGGGCGUAAAGCGAGCGCAGGUGGUUUAUUAAGUCUGGUGUAAAAGGCAGUGGCUCAACCAUUGUAUGCAUUGGAAACUGGUAGACUUGAGUGCAGGAGAGGAAAGUGGAAUUCCAUGUGUAGCGGUGAAAUGCGUAGAUAUAUGGAGGAACACCGGUGGCGAAAGCGGCUCUCUGGCCUGUAACUGACACUGAGGCUCGAAAGCGUGGGGAGCAAACAGG